CAGUAGCCACGGUAAUACGUAGGGUGCGAGCGUUGUCCGGAAUUAUUGGGCGUAAAGAGCUUGUAGGCGGUUUGUCGCGUCUGCUGUGAAAAUUCAGGGCUUAACCCUGGACGUGCAGUGGGUACGGGCAGACUAGAGUGUGGUAGGGGAGACUGGAAUUCCUGGUGUAGCGGUGGAAUGCGCAGAUAUCAGGAGGAACACCGAUGGCGAAGGCAGGUCUCUGGGCCAUUACUGACGCUGAGAAGCGAAAGCAUGGGGAGCGAACAGGAUUAGAUACCCCUGUAGUCCCUGUCUCUUAUAC
rnacentral:rRNA from 1 species